AGCCCUAGAUAAUAUCUAAGGUGUGACCUGCCCAAUGGUUAUAAAUUAAAAACAAAUGAAAUAUUGUUAAAUAUAAUUUAAAGGACGCGGUAACCUUGACCGUGAUAAUGUAGCAUAAUCACUCGCCAUUUAAUUGAUGGAUAGUAUGAAUGGUUAAACGAAUUUUCCACUGUCUUAAAAAGAGAAUAACAAAAAUUGAAAUGAUAGUUAAGAUGCUAUUUAAAAUUGUAAGACGAAAAGACCCUAUAGAGCUUAACUACAAUCUUUUUAAUAACUACAGAAAGAUAGGUAGUUUAAUUGGGGCGAUUAUCUUCUAAAAUAAACGAAGACGAGUAAAUUAAUAAAAAUAAUAAUUGUUUAAUUAAUAAAUUUAACAAAUACAACAGUAGACUAUAAUGACCCGUUAUUAAUUAAUAAAAAUAAUAACGAUCAACAAAUAAAAGCUACCUUAGGGAUAACAGGAUAAUUUCACUUUAGAGAUCUUAUCGAAAGUGAAGUUUGUCACCUCUAUGUUGAAUUAAGACAUCCUGAUAAUGCAGAAGUUAUCAACGGUAGGUCUGUUCGACCUUUAAAGUCUUA
rnacentral:rRNA from 1 species